rnacentral:rRNA from 1 species
GACGAACGCUGGCGGCGUGCUUAACACAUGCAAGUCGAACGGAAAGGCCAGCAUUUCCUUGUGGAUUGCGGGUACUCGAGUGGCGAAGGGGUGAGUAAAACGUGAGUGAUCUGCCCCCAACUUGGGUAUAAGAACGGGAACCAGGGUCUAAUAAUCGAUAGGACUGCAGGGUGGUGCCUGUGGUGGAGAACGAUCUUUUAGUGGUUGGGGAUGAGCUCGCGGCGUAUCAGCUUGUUGUGGCGGUAAUGGCCUACCAAGACGGGGACGGGUAGCCGGCCUGAGAGCGUGGACGGCCACAUUGGGACUGGGUUACGGCCCAGACGCCUGCGAGAGGCAGGGGUGGGGAAGAUUUGGCAGUGAGCGUGACGGUGAAGCAGCGACGCCGCGUUGGGGGUGACGGCCUUCGGGUUGUAUACUCCUUGCGACCACGAGAAGGCCACGUGGUUAUGAGGGUGGUGACGGUAGUGGUAGAGGAAGCACCGGCUAACUACGUG